GCUCUAAUAGGUUAUGUAAAAUAAUUGGAACAAGAUGAUCAGCGUCAUUCACUUUACCUGUCGGUGGUUUUAAUGUUGUGGCUGAUUCAUGUAGUUUAAAUGAUUAACGCUGUAACACAAACCUACAGUAUCAGCAGAUGUGCUUCUAUGUUGAGGACAAAGAAAACGGUUCCAAAACCAGCAGCGCUUCCAACUUACCAACUCAGUUUCUGUUCUACAUUUGCAGAAAAUGCACCAGAUAGUGAUGCUGAUACGAACUCCAGCUCUUCUAGCUUCAGAUCACCUGCAGCUGACCGCAUGUCGGAUCGACGGCGGGUUUUCAAUACAAAGUUAUUGACGAAGCUUCGGAGAAAAGUUCAUUAAAGAGACACGAAAACAGCAGUUUAUGUAAGAAAACAGUGUAUUUACAAAAAAUCUUUACACCUACAACAAAUGAAACGCUACCUUUAACUGCAGAUAAUAUAAAUGUACAUAUAUAUUAUUUUUUUUACUGUGCCAGAUUACUGCUCAUUAACUGUACAGGAGUCGUCACAGACACUCGGCUCAGCUUCCCUUCAGAGAAUCGUGGAAACCCGUCCCAGGCUUCAAACACAAACAGACUGUUUUUAGGGGAUGGAUGGGAGCUAUUUUAAAUUCACAAAUAAAGUUUUACUUUAGCGUCUUGCAGACUUCAUGAAACAGCUUCUAUCCCGUCUGACACCGGUGUAGAUUUCAACAUUUGAGCAUCAAACGCUGAAUUUGUUGAGUUUUUCGGCACCAUUUUGUGCCUUUUUUGCAACCAAUUUAUAUUCCAAAUGUCUUAAUUAAUGCCAAUUAAAACCCAAAAUGCAGUCACAAUUGAUAAACUAAACUAAAAGUGCUUUCUUUCUUCUUUUAGGUUUUUAUUUCGAGGGGGCACAUUUUCUAAAUAUGGAGCAGAAAUCUACACCCAUGUCCUCUGGAAUAGUUUUCUUUGUUUUGUUUUCACUUCCUGGUUUUAAUUAAUCAAGUUUUUAACAUUGAGUAACAUUUGCAAAACUAAAUUUAAACACAAAUGAAUCCUAUGUGGACAUUAAUGAUGAGUUUGGAUGUUGUGAAGAAGCUUAACGUGAGAAUGCAGCUUGUUUCUCACUGUAAGUAAAAAGUGUUUCCCUUCGAGUUGACGACUUCAUAUGUUUCUGUUUGGCUGCUUCUCAGUCGCUCUCGGAAACUUUCUGUCACUCAGCAUUUUAAAAAUCCGUUUCAUGUUUUGCUCCUGUGAUCUCGGACGCUUCAGGUUCUACUGAAACCCACAUGAACAAAUCUUUCUUUGGCUUUAGGUCAGAGAGGAGAAUCUGAAGUCUGUGAAUGGACUGAAAGAUGCAGUUGAACUGGUUCUGUUUGUGCAUUUUCUGGUUUGUAACUGUCAGCACUAACUGAAAUAAAACUCACACAGCUAUUCCGUGUA